GACGAACGCUGGCGGCGUGCUUAACACAUGCAAGUCGAACGGAAAGGCCCUGCUUUUGUGGGGUGCUCGAGUGGCGAACGGGUGAGUAACACGUGAGUAACCUGCCCUUGACUUUGGGAUAACUUCAGGAAACUGGGGCUAAUACCGGAUAGGAGCUCCUGCUGCAUGGUGGGGGUUGGAAAGUUUCGGCGGAUGGGGAUGGACUCGCGGCUUAUCAGCUUGUUGGUGGGGUAGUGGCUUACCAAGGCUUUGACGGGUAGCCGGCCUGAGAGGGUGGCCGGCCACAUUGGGACUGAGAUACGGCCCAGACUCCUACGGGAGGCAGCAGUGGGGAAUAUUGCACAAUGGGCGGAAGCCUGAUGCAGCAACGCCGCGUGCGGGAUGACGGCCUUCGGGUUGUAAACCGCUUUCGCCUGUGACGAAGCGUGAGUGACGGUAAUGGGUAAAGAAGCACCGGCUAACUACGUG
rnacentral:rRNA from 1 species